GGACUACUGGGGUAUCUAAUCCCGUUCGCUCCCCUAGCUUUCGCGCCUCAGCGUCAGAAGAGGUCCAGCACGUCGCUUUCGCCACCGGAGUUCCUUCCGAUAUCAACGCAUUUCACCGCUCCACCGGAAGUUCCACAUGCCCCUACCUCGCUCAAGACCAUCAGUAUCCAAGGCACUUUUCCGGUUGAGCCGAAAGAUUUCACCCCGGACUUGAUGGCCCGCCUACGCGCCCUUUAAGCCCAGUGAUUCCGAACAACGUUCGCACGGUUCGUCUUACCGCGGCUGCUGGCAC
rnacentral:rRNA from 1 species